GCAUAUCAAUAAGCGGAGGAAAAGAAACCAACAGGGAUUGCCUCAGUAACGGCGAGUGAAGCGGCAACAGCUCAAAUUUGAAAUCUGGCUCUUCUAGGGUCCGAGUUGUAAUUUGUAGAAGAUGCUUCGGGUGUGGCUCCGGUCUAAGUUCCUUGGAACAGGACGUCAUAGAGGGUGAGAAUCCCGUAUGUGACUGGUUGCCUUCGCCCAUGUGAAGCUCUUUCAACGAGUCGAGUUGUUUGGGAAUGCAGCUCAAAAUGGGUGGUAAAUUUCAUCUAAAGCUAAAUAUUGGCCAGAGACCGAUAGCGCACAAGUAGAGUGAUCGAAAGAUGAAAAGCACUUUGGAAAGAGAGUUAAACAGUACGUGAAAUUGUUGAAAGGGAAGCGCUUGCAACCAGACUUGCGUGCGGUCGAUCAUCCGGUGUUCUCACCGGUGCACUCGAUCGUAUUCAGGCCAGCAUCGGUUUCGGUGGUUGGAUAAAGGCCUUGGGAAUGUAGCUUCUCUCGGGGAGUGUUAUAGCCCAAGGUGCAAUGCAGCCUACCGGGACCGAGGACCGCGCUUCGGCUAGGAUGCUGGCGUAAUGGUUGUAAGCGACCCGUCUUGAAACACGGACCAAGGAGUCUAACAUCUAUGCGAGUGUUUGGGUGUCAAACCCAUACGCGUAAUGAAAGUGAACGGAGGUGAGAACCCUUAAGGGUGCAUCAUCGACCGAUCCUGAUGUCUUCGGAUGGAUUUGAGUAAGAGCAUAGCUGUUGGGACCCGAAAGAUGGUGAACUAUGCCUGAAUAGGGUGAAGCCAGAGGAAACUCUGGUGGAGGCUCGCAGCGGUUCUGACGUGCAAAUCGAUCGUCAAAUUUGGGUAUAGGGGCGAAAGACUAAUCGAACCCAUCUAGUAGCUGGCUCUGCGAG
rnacentral:rRNA from 1 species